rnacentral:tRNA from 1 species
GCUUGGUGGUUCAGUGGUAGAAUUCUCACCUUCUAUGUGGGUUUUUUUUUUUAUGUGGGAGACCUGAGUUCAAUUCCUGGCCAAUGCA